AUGGGUGGCCAUGUAGAGUACGAGAUAAACAAAAAAGGUGGUGCACCAUAUGUUUUUCUCUUGAAUGGCCAAAACUACCAUCAAAUUGGCACGUUGCUACCUAAAGAUAAUGGAGAUAAUUCUCUCAGGCCAAAGUUUGCUCAAUUGUAUAUUUAUGAUACAGAAAAUGAGGUCCAUGCUUCAACCUCAAAGGAAAGGAAAACACAACUUGAUGAAGGCAUUUUGUCUGGAUUGUUGCAGAUGCUUGAUGAUCACAAUGAGUUAGUGAAGUCAUUCCGUAUGGCAAGGGAUAGAUACCGAGAGUCGGAUCUUGAAAAUGUUAGGUUGCGAUUAAUUGGUACAAGAUCCAAUGAUGGAAGACAAUACAACCUACCAACUGCAUCUGAAAUAGCCGCACUCAUUGUUGGGGAACAAACAGAGAAUGUUGAACGUGAUAUAAUAGUAGAAAACAAAGACAAACAACUCCAGCGAAUUUCGGAACUGCAUCCAAGCUUUAUGUCUAUGCAAUACCCGUUGUUAUUCCCAUAUGGAGAAGAUAUAUUCAGACCAAAAAUAAAAUUAGAAAAAACUGAUCAAGUAGGUAAGAGAAUUAUACUACCUUCAUCAUAUAAUGGAAGUCAUACACAUCAGUACUACCAGGAUGCAAUGGCCAUAUGUCGGUGGGCUGGAUAUCCAGAUCUGUUUAUCACUUUCACAUGCAACCCAAAGUGGACAAAAAUACAGAUCAUGUUGGACUUCAUAACAGGACAAAAAUCAGAAGAUCAUCCAGAUAUUGUCAAUAGAGUAUUCCUUAUAAAGCUGAAUGAACUAAUAGAAGACAUAUACAAAAAGAAGCGGUUUGGAAAAGCAAUAGCAAUUGUUUACACCAUCGAGUUCCAGAAAAGAGGUCUACCUCAUGCACAUAUACUAUUAUUUUUGGAUCUAGAUGACAGGGAUCCUAGCCCCCAAAAUAUUGACAAAAUCAUAUCAGCAGAGGUGCCAGACAAGGAUGUUGAUCCAGAAGGUUACAUGGCAGUUGAAAAUUUCAUAAUGCAUGGACCAUGUGGCCAGGCAUGCUACAAGUCAUCAUGCAUGAUCAAUGGGAAGUGCUCAAAACAUUUCCCUAAGAUAUUUUGUGCGGAAUCAAGCAUCGAUGAAGAAGGAUUCCCAAUAUACAGAAGAAGAAAUAAUGCCAGGACUAUAGAAAAAAGUGGAGUACAGCUAGAUAGCAGGUAUGUUGUUCCAUACAACAGGGACCUAAUAGUCAAGUACUAGGGCCAUAUAAACAUGGAAUGGUGUAACAAAUCAAGAUCCAUAAAGUAUUUGUUCAAGUACAUCCAUAAAGGAGAGGAUAGAUCAACUGUAAUUUUGGGUGCGGGAAAUAACUAUGACGAGAUACAAAUUUACCUUGAUGCACGAUACCUAUCGGCUGGUGUAGCAUCUUGGCGUAUCUUUGGAUUUGAACUUCAGCACCGGCAGCCUUCUAUACAGAGACUGCAAUUCCACCUUCAAGAUGAGCAAAUGGUCGUGUUCCCGGACUCAACUGAUAUCGAUAAAAUUGUACAUAGACCUGGCAUAGAGGAAACAAUUUUUACCGAAUGGAUGACUGCUAAUAAAUUGUAUGAGGAGGCCUGUAAUCUAACAUAUGCAGAAUUCCCCAUUAAGUAGACGUGGCAUGCAAAGGAGAAAAGAUGGAAACCAAGGAAAGGCGGGAAACGGUCUAUUGGGAGGAUAUACUAUGCCCAUCCAGCAAGUGGUGAGAAAUAUUACCUGAGGAUUCUGCUGAAUACUGUCAAAGGUUGUAAAUCAUAUGAGGACAUCAGAAAAGUAAAUGGUAUUUUACACCCAACCUAUAAAUCAGCAUGUUAUGCCCUUGGAUUACUCAAUGAUGACCAAGAGUGGGAUGAUUGUAUUAAGGAAGCAUCGCAUUGGGCUUCUGCACAACAAAUGCGACAACUUUUCUGCACAAUACUCAUUUUUUGUGAGGUCACAAAUCCAAGGAAACUAUGGGAAUCUACAUGGGAAUUACUCUCAGAGGACAUACAAUGACGUCAAAGGAAAAUCUUGAACCUUAAUCCUGAACAAAUAAAAAAUCUCACACUUAUAGAGAUAGAGAUGUUGCUAAGGAGAGGUGGAAAGACACUAAAAGAUUAUGAAGGAAUCCCACUACUAGAUAGAAACUCACUACAAGGUCUACAAAAUAGGUUGGUAAGUGAAGAGCUUAACUAUGACAGACAGUCUCUACAAAUAGAGAAAGUGGCACUACUUGCAAAGUUAAAUCCAGAACAGAAACAAGCUUUUGAUGCAAUACUACAAUCUGUAAAUAGCAAACUAGGCAAACUGAUAUUUGUCAAUGGAUAUGGUGGAACAGGAAAAACAUUUCUGUGGAAGGCAAUCACGACAUCACUAUGAUCUGAAGGAAAAAUAGUUUUAGCAGUAGCAUCCAGUGCAAUAGCAGCACUUCUUAUACCUGGGGGAAGAACUGCACAUUCAAGAUUUCACAUCCCACUCAACAUCAAUAAUGAGUCCACAUGUGACAUAAAGCAAGGAUCCUAUCUAGCAGACCUGCUAAAGAAAACAUCCUUAAUUAUAUGGGAUGAAGCACCUAUGGCGAACAAACAUUGCUUUGAAGCAUUGGACAAGAGCUUGAGAGACAUCCUAAGGUUCACAAAUGAAAGUAGUGCAGAUAAACCAUUUCGAGGGAUGACAGUAGUGAUGGGAGGUGACUUCAGACAAAUCCUGCCAGUAAUACCGAAAGGGCGAAGAUCGCAUAUUGUAGACGCAUCCUUAAAACGUUCCUACUUAUGGAACCACUUUGAGGAAUUCCAGCUCACUCGGAACAUGCACGUUUCUGCACUAACAGAUACUCCAGAAGAACAAAAGAAGACCGCAGAUUUUGCGGACUGGAUUCUAAAUAUUGGAGAUGGAUUAGUUGGAAAUAAAGAAGAAGAGGCAUGGGUACAUAUACGAGAGGACUUACUACUUCAGAAAGGGGAGAACCAAUUAGAAACUAUCAUCAACAGCACCUAUCCAAACCUAUGGACAAACUACAUGAAGCGAAAAUACUUAGAAGAGAGAGCCAUCUUAUGUCCAAGAAAUGAGAUGGUCGAUGAGGUAAAUUCUUACAUCAUGGGUAGAAUAGAAGGUGAAGAGGUAACCUAUCGAAGCUCAGAUACAGUGUGCAAAGCAAUGUCAAUUUCAGAAGAUGAGAGGCAUUUGUACCCAACAGAAUUCCUAAAUAGCUUGAAGUGCCCUGGAAUACCAGACCACGAAAUACGGCUGAAAGUUGGACUGCCAGUUAUGCUGCUACAGAAUUUCAACCAAAGCGAGGGCUUAUGCAAUGGUAUGGGACUAACUAUAAAACAGCUAGGCAAAUGGUUCAUAGAAGCUCAGAUAAUAACAGGGACAAACAUUGGAAACAAGGUAUAUAUUCCAAGGAUUAUUAUGUCACCAAGUGACUCAAAAUGGCCGUUUGUGUUGAAAACGAGGCAGUACCCAAUAUCAGUUUGUUUUGCAAUGACGAUAAAUAAGAGUCUAGGGCAGUCGCUAAAACAUGUGGGGCUAUAUUUACCAAAGAAGGUGUUCACACAUGGCCAACUCUAUGUAGCGGUAUCAAGAGUCACAAGUAGAGAUGGACUUAAAGUUUUAAUUUCAGAUGAAGAAUCUAAGGAAAAUAAUUCGGCAAAAAAUAUUGUGUACAAGGAGAUCCUUUAG
rnacentral:rRNA from 1 species